rnacentral:misc_RNA from 1 species
AUACCUUCGGUUUGACGAUUUAUUGUCUCGCCGGCGUUGGCGGUUUUGGGUAACCGCGGGGCAACCCGCGGCCAUUCUGCUUAAACACUGACAGCGGUCGAGUUCUUACCCCCACCGAUUAGUAGAAAUAUUUAUCGUUUAAGGAUUUGAACUCUUCGCAAUACAAAAUAGGGGAUCUGAUCCCCAUAA